GACGAACGCUGGCGGCGUGCUUAACACAUGCAAGUCGAGCGGUAAGGCCCUUUCGGGGGUACACGAGCGGCGAACGGGUGAGUAACACGUGGGUGACCUGCCUUUAGCUCUGGGAUAAGCCUGGGAAACUGGGUCUAAUACCGGAUAUGACCCUAUGGCGCAUGUUGUGGGGUGGAAAGCCUUGUGCGGCUAGGGAUGGGCCCGCGGCCUAUCAGCUUGUUGGUGGGGUGAUGGCCUACCAAGGCGACGACGGGUAGCCGGCCUGAGAGGGCGACCGGCCACACUGGGACUGAGACACGGCCCAGACUCCUACGGGAGGCAGCAGUGGGGAAUCUUGCGCAAUGGGCGAAAGCCUGACGCAGCGACGCCGCGUGAGUGAUGAAGGCCUUAGGGUGUAAAGCUCUUUUACCCGGGAAGAUAAUGACGGUACCGGGAGAAUAAGCCCCGGCUAACUUCGUGCCAGC
rnacentral:rRNA from 1 species